GAUGAGCGCUGGCGGCGUGCCUAACACAUGCAAGUCGAGCGAUUCUCUUCGGAGAAGAGCGGCGGACGGGUGAGUAACGCGUGGGUAACCUGCCCUGUACACACGGAUAACAUACCGAAAGGUAUGCUAAUACGGGAUAAUGUAAGAGAGUCGCAUGGCUUUCUUAUCAAAGCUCCGGCGGUACAGGAUGGACCCGCGUCUGAUUAGCUCGUUGGUGAGGUGAUGGCUCACCAAGGCGACGAUCAGUAGCCGACCUGAGAGGGUGAUCGGCCACAUUGGAACUGAGACACGGUCCAAACUCCUACGGGAGGCAGCAGUGGGGAAUAUUGCACAAUGGGCGAAAGCCUGAUGCAGCAACGCCGCGUGAGCGAUGAAGGCCUUCGGGUCGUAAAGCUCUGUCCUCAAGGAAGAUAAUGACGGUACUUGAGGAGGAAGCCCCGGCUAACUACGUGCCAGCCGCCGCGGUAA
rnacentral:rRNA from 1 species